GUUGAACGCUGGCGGCAGGCCUAACACAUGCAAGUCGAACGGUAACAGGAAGCAGCUUGCUGCUUCGCUGACGAGUGGCGGACGGGUGAGUAAUGUCUGGGAAGCUGCCUGAUGGAGGGGGAUAACUACUGGAAACGGUAGCUAAUACCGCAUAAUGUCGCAAGACCAAAGAGGGGGACCUUCGGGCCUCUUGCCAUCGGAUGUGCCCAGAUGGGAUUAGCUUGUUGGUGGGGUAACGGCUCACCAAUGCGACGAUCCCUAGCUGGUCUGAGAGGAUGACCAGCCACACUGGAACUGAGACACGGUCCAGACUCCUACGGGAGGCAGCAGUGGGGAAUAUUGCACAAUGGGCGCAAGCCUGAUGCAGCCAUGCCGCGUGUAUGAAGAAGGCCUUCGGGUUGUAAAGUACUUUCAGCGGGGAGGAAGGGAGUAAAGUUAAUACCUUUGCUCAUUGACGUUACCCGCAGAAGAAGCACCGGCUAACUCCGUG
rnacentral:rRNA from 1 species